GACGAACGCUGGCGGCGUGCCUAAUACAUGCAAGUUGAGCGCUGAAGGUUGGUACUUGUACCAACUGGAUGAGCAGCGAACGGGUGAGUAACGCGUGGGGAAUCUGCCUUUGAGCGGGGGACAACAUUUGGAAACGAAUGCUAAUACCGCAUAAAAACUUUAAACACAAGUUUUAAGUUUGAAAGAUGCAAUUGCAUCACUCAAAGAUGAUCCCGCGUUGUAUUAGCUAGUUGGUGAGGUAAAGGCUCACCAAGGCGAUGAUACAUAGCCGACCUGAGAGGGUGGUCGGCCACAUGGGGACUGAGGCACGGCCAAAACUCCUACGGGAGGCAGCAGUAGGGUAUCUUCGGCAGUGGGCGGGAGUGUGACCGAGCAACGCAGCGUGAGUGAAGAAGAUGUUCGGAUCGUAAAACUCUGUUGGUAGAGAAGAACGUUGGUGAGAGUGGAAAGCUCAUCAAGUGACGGUAACUACCCAGAAAGGGACGGCUAACUACGUG
rnacentral:rRNA from 1 species